rnacentral:lncRNA from 1 species
UUUUUUUUUUUUUUUUUUAAAUUUCCUGAGGAGAUAGGAUCAGAAGGGGAUUUGGAGUUGAGGGCACUGGUUGCUGUCUCCUACAGGAAAUCCACCUCCUUCAAUCACAAAUCUCUGACAUGUCUGUGGUGGUGAAGAUGGACAACAGCCGGGAGCUCAGCAUGGACUUGGUUGUGGCUGAGAUCAAGGCUCAGUAUGAUGAUAUUGCCAGUCGCAGCCGGGCGGAGGCCGAGACCUGGUACCAAACCAAGGUAGUCUGGAGGGCAGGACUGCCCCACUGAGACAGGAGGAUAGCUGUGAGCCUCGAGUUUCUCUGGGAAACACACUCCUGCACUCUAGAGGGGCUGCCACUGAGGUCCCGGGUAGAGCAGGGCCAGAAGGCAGGAGAGCUGCGGAACAGCAGCCUGGCUGAUUGGGUCGGGAACUGCAGCCUCUAGCCAUUGUUUCUGCUGUUUGCCUCUCAACCCACAGUGUGAGGAGGUGAAGGCCACAGUCACCCAGCAGGGUGAGAACCUCCGCAGAACCAAGGAUAAGCUCAACGAGCUGAACCGCGUGAUCCAGAGGCUGACGGCAGAGGUGGAGAACGCCAAGCAGCAGGUUGGGGGACGCCGAGACCCCACUCCAUACACCUACCGCUUCUUGUCUGGUUCCUGCUUCCCUCCUAUCUUCAAGGACUGCUGUCAUCUUUGGAGAGGCGUGUAUUUGAACUGUGCCAGAGUACACUACUAUCAUCAGCAUGCAAGGGCUCCUGUUCUAACACCUGCCAUUACCAAACUUCCAAAUUCUUGUGGAUCUGAUAGGUGUAAACUGGCACCUAAUUAUUAUUCUAAUUUUCAUUUCUUUGGUUAACCAGUGAUAGGAAAUCUUUCUAUCACUUACUAGUUAUUUGUAUUCCCCUUCUAAGAACUGUCUACUCAUAUAUCUGCCCAUUUUUCUAUUGUGGCUCCCUUCUUUUUUCUUGGUGAUUUGCAGUAUUCCUUUGUCCAUUCUAUCUGGAUUGUAAGCCUUUGUCAGUACACAUGUUGCAAUUAACUUUCCCUCAGUCUAUCACUUGUCUGUUUGUCCUUUGUUGAACCCAAAUCUUUAACCCGGAUGUGCCCAAAUCCAUUUUAAGUUCUUCCUUUAAUGGUUUAGACUUAGAAGGUUUUGAGAUAAUAGAGGUAGUCUCUUAAAUUUCUCCCCCAUAUUAGUUUUAUAGUUUUACCUCUGGCAUUUAGGUCUGUGAUCCAUCUGAACUUUAUUUUAUUUUUUUUUUUGUAUACACAGUGAGUAGGGUUCUAAAUUAACUUUUCUACAUAUUGUAAGAAAAUAGGUUAUGUAAUCCAUCC